rnacentral:lncRNA from 1 species
CCCUGCAGGCACAUACAAGGUUUCCAGAAGUUCCCCAGUCAUUGAGCAUUUCUGAGGCUCUUGAUGCAUAUGCCAAGUAGUUAUGGAGAAAGACACAGCAGCUUACCUCUGCAGGCAUCAUUGUGUGAAAGGAAGACCCAGGCUCUCUCACCACCCUUCAACAGAAGCCUUUUGCUAAGGUGAUAGCUACAUGUCCAAGCCUAUUGCGUGGCAUGCAUUUUGCCUUCUGCAGCCCACUAAAGGAAAUUGAGGUAUACGGAAUGCUUAUUUGGUUUACUCAGUAUCAUCCUAAAUGUAUGUACCAAUGCUUAGGAGUUUGCAGUUCACCCGCAAACCUCAGCGAUCCAAGCUCCCCUGGAUGACCAUCACUCACCAAGAAAAGAACAAUAACAGGACCUGUUUUGCUAAUCCAGGACUGUUCUCCAGCACUAACUCUAAAUAAUCCCUUCUGCUAGAGUCCACUUUCUGGAACCUGUUGCCUCCGUUUUCAACGUUUCCCAAACUUGGUCCGUUGUGUGAGCUGGCUGAUAAAAGUUCCAGGGAGAGGACAUCUUACUCUUAUUGGAUCAUGCACAGUGCCUGAAGCAUUCUGUUGCAUGUAGAAA